rnacentral:rRNA from 1 species
GAACGCUGGCGGCGUGCUUAACACAUGCAAGUCGAGCGGUAAGGCCCUUUCGGGGGUACACGAGCGGCGAACGGGUGAGUAACACGUGGGUGACCUGCCCUCAGCUCUGGGAUAAGCCUGGGAAACUGGGUCUAAUACCGGAUAUGACUCCAUGACGCAUGUUGUGGGGUGGAAAGCCUUGUGCGGCUGAGGAUGGGCCCGCGGCCUAUCAGCUUGUUGGUGGGGUGANGGCCUACCAAGGCGACGACGGGUAGCCGGCCUGGGAGGGCGACCGGCCACACUGGGACUGAGACACGGCCCAGACUCCUACGGGAGGCAGCAGGUGGGGAAUCUUGCGCAAUGGGCGAAAGCCUGACGCAGCGACGCCGCGUGAGGGAUGACGGCCUGG